UGGUGGAGUGAUUUGUCUGCUUAAUUGCGAUAACGAACGAGACCUUAGCCUCUAAAUAGUUACCCGCACACCGGGCCCCGUUAGGCGGCGGAUGUUGGUGCCUAGCGCCAGCGUACGUUUAGCUGUGAGGCCGCUGGGUUGCGAGGGACAACUUCUUAGAGGGACGGCCGGUGGUUAACCGGAGGAAGCGUUAGGCAAUAACA
rnacentral:rRNA from 1 species